rnacentral:misc_RNA from 1 species
UCAGAACUUCAUUUCCUUUGCGGAAUCGGGGACAACAGCUGCCCUCCCAGUUUUUUUUUUGUUUGUUUUGUUUUUUGUUUUUACCCUUGUUUUUGUUGUUCAUUUCCCUUAUCGCCGUGGUCCGAAACACACGCAAAUGUUUUACUUUCUAACGUACUCGUGAUUCCGUCGAAGCCGAGUUUUUUCCGUGACAGAAACCAGACGUUCAAGACCGAAAGUUCUGCAAAUGGAAAUUUUUUGAGCCGUGCCGUGUCUUCAGUUUUGUCCAGUGACAGUCGGACGAUGGAUUUCGACAAGCUGCACAUCCAGAUCCUCUGCUUUUUAGGACUUUGGAUGAAGAUUGUGUUUGGGGCUGAAUUAGCAAUUCAGAUACCAGAAAACCUAAGCCAGGAUAAUAGCACUUAUCGUCUGGAUUACGUCCCAAAGUAUGGCCAUCCUCCACCCAACACUACAAUCCUGUCGAGAGACAUCGGUCACGUCAUCCAGUUCUCAAAAGGCCUUCCAGGCACCAAGUAUGAAUUUUGGCUUUACUACUCGAAUACUACUCUGCACGACUGGUUAACAUGGACAGCGUCCAUCACAACAGCUCCAGACCCACCUUCGAAUCUCACUGUUACCAUCAGAAAUGGAAGAUCUGCAGUUGUAAAUUUCAGCCCUCCAGUCCUUGGCAGCUACCAUUCAUUUAAAAUGAAGGUUAUUAGUUUAGCAGAACCAACAGUUCCAACCAGAACAAUUCUGCUCAACACAACUGAACCUUACACACUCCGUGAAUUAACACCUGGUGGAAGUUACCAACUUCAGCUUUUUACUGUGUUUGAUCAAAAAGAAAGUGUUGCUUACACAUCAAGGAACUUUACAACAAAACCAAAUACGCCAGGGAAGUUCAUUGUCUGGUUUAGAAAUGAAACGACGCUGUUAGUUUUGUGGCAGCCAUCGUACCCAGCAUCAAUUUAUACUCAUUAUAUUGUUCGAAUUGAUCCUCCUGAUGCAGCGGAAAGUAUGUUGUACGUUGAAAAAGAGGGUGAACCACCUGGCCCAGCCCAAGCAGCAUUCAAAGCCCUUAUUCCAGGACGAGCAUAUAAUAUUUCUGUUCAAACUAUGAGUGAAGAUGAGAUUUCCACGCCUACAGUAGCUCAAUACAGAACUAUACCGUUGCGACCUAUUAAUGUUCGAUUUGACAAAUCAACAGUAACUUCACAUAGUUUUACUGUACUGUGGGAUUCACCAAAUCGUCAAAGUGAGUUUGACAAGUACCAGAUUUCAAUUAAUCUCCGUCGUCAAGGAUCAGUUCCACCGAUUACAAGAAAUAGAAGUGACCCAACAUUCCAGACUUUUAAAGAGGGCCUGGAACCAGGACAAACGUAUCAUGUUUUGGUUAAAACAGUAUCAGGAAAAGUUACAUCGUGGCCUGUAGCAGUUAACGUCACAUUAAAACCUUUGCCUGUCGAAGAUUUAAAAGCUGAAAACAGUGGUAAUGGAGUAGUUGUGUUAAGUUGGAAACCCCAGAACUCGAGUACCCAAGAUCAGUAUAAGAUCAGUUACACAGAAAUGGGCGUCCUCAAUGGAGAUACAAAUACAAUGUAUACAGAAAACACUCAGCUCAUCUUGGAAUCCCUUCUUCCUGGUCGGAAAUAUUCAAUAGCAGUUCAAGCUGUUUCCAACCAGCAAGAAUCACAUGAGAAAAUCACAUAUCAAUCAACAAGGCCAUCUGCUCCUGUUAUUGAAGAUCUUAGACCUAUCGAAUAUGGUCUUAAUAUUUCAUGGAAGUCCGAUGUCAACUCUAGGCAAGAGAAAUAUGAGGUUAUCUACCACAGAAAUGAUUCGGAUGGCGAACCCAAGCAUUCAUUUACUACAGAACCACAUUUGUUGCUUACAAAUCUGUAUCCGGGUGCUGGAUAUGAAAUAAAAGUAUUCGCCAUCAGUCACAGUUUGUACAGUGAGCCUCAUGAUUACUUCCAAGCAGUUUUUCCAAAACCUCCAACAAACCUUACAAUGGAAAAUGUCACUAGUAACUCAGUCGUAGUGCGCUGGAUGGAACCAAUAGAUUCUCUAUUUUCCGAUUUCUCGAUAAGAUACCGCACAGAAGAUGAUUCUAAAUGGAUUAAACUACCGACUGUAAGACACACAGAAGCUGAAGUUGCGGAUUUGACUCCUGGUGAAAAAUAUACUAUUCAGGUCAAUACUGUUAGUUUUGGCGUUGAAUCUGCAAAUCCGUUAACGCUACAUCAUACAGUCCGACCAAAUCCUGUCACCGCAAUUGCUCCACUUGUUGACUCGACCAAUGUUACCCUUGAAUUUCCAAGACCAGAAGGGAAGAUAGAAUACUACAUUAUAAAUUGGGUGUCUGUGGAUGAAAGUGAUGAUGAUCCAAAACCAAAGACAAGGAAUAUGACUGGUUUUGGCUCUGAAGGUGGUACCGUCCGUGCACUUGUCGAAGACUUAAUGCCUGGUAUAAAAUACCAGUUUGAUAUUCACACAGUUUCGUACAAUCUUCACAGCGACAUCACCACAUUAACUGCUAGGACAAUGCCAUUGAUACUUUCGGAAGUGCUUGUUGUGAACAACCAGCAAGCCACAGAUACUGUUACAUUGAGGUAUACACCAACCCCACAGUCUUCAUCGCAUUUUGAUAAAUACAGGUUCUCUCUUUCGGGAUCCGGUGCACCCGUGAUAAGAGAAAAAGAUGCCAAUGAUACUGAAUGGAAGGUCACUUUUACUUCUCUCACUCCUGGGAAAUUGUAUAACAUUACUUUAUGGACUGUUGCUGACCAUGUGCUCAGUCAACCGUUACACCGUCAAGACCGACUUUACCCUGAGCCAAUCACUCAGUUAAAUGCAACCAAUAUCACUGGGACUACGGUCACUCUGACCUGGGACAAACCGAGAGGAGAAUACAAUGCAUUUGAAGUGCAGUACUUGAACACAGAAGAGUUGCUGAUUCAAAAUUUGACCCAAGAAAAAACGUUCACCGUAACUGACCUUAAGCCGUACAGAAAUUACACUUUCACAGUUGUCGUAAGAUCUGGAAUGGAAGCGACAAUUCUUCGACGAUCGUUGCCAAUUUCUGCAGUCUUUACAACCCAUGAAGGCAUCCCAGGAUUGGUGACUAACUUCCACCCAAAAGAUAUCCAGCCAAGUGAAAUUCAUUUCAUGUGGAUUCUUCCACCCAGUGAGCAAAACGGAAUAAUUCGCAAAUUUACAAUAACAUAUGGACUUGAGAAUUCUGUAUAUACACAACGGAAGGAUUUUAAACCUUGGGAAACGGAAGGCACAAUAAGGAACCUGAUGCCUGGAAAAACAUACAUAUUUCAUAUUCAAGGAGAAACAAAAGUCGGUUAUGGACGAGAAGCUAUUUGGAAACAAACAAUGCCAAUUUUAGCCCCUCCAAAACCGAGUCCACAAGUUGUCCCCACUGAGGUUUGCCGUACAUCGACUACAAUCCAGAUAAGGUUCAGGAAAAACUAUUUUUCAGAGGCAAAUGGACCUGUUGUUGCGUACACAAUAAUUGUCGCUGAAGAUGACACCAAGAACGCUUCUGGGAUUGAAAUGCCAGGAUGGAGGGAUGUCCAAGCUUACAGUGUUUGGCCACCAUACCAAGUGAUAGAACCUUAUUUCCCUUUCAAAAAUGCGUCUGUUGUUGAUUUCACAAUUGGUACCGAGGAUUGUGAAACUAAGAUGAAUACUUACUGCAAUGGGCCGUUAAAAGGAGGUACAACUUACAGGGUCAAAAUAAGGGCUUUCACAGCACCAGAGAAAUUCACAGACACUCAUUAUUCAUUUUCAAUUCAAACAGAUCAAAAUACAACCCCACUCAUAGUGGGCAUUACAAUCCCAAGUGUGGUCUUGCUGAUUCUCUUUAUUGUGAUUCUUCUAAUGAGAAGGAACAAAAUCAUAGGAAGACGACCAACAGAAAAUAGAGCGAGUGACAAUCUUAGCAUACAAGACAGUAUCAUGGAAACAACUCGACCUAUACGCCUCGAAAACUUUGCUGAGCAUUAUAGAAUCAUGUCAGCAGAUUCGGACUUCAGGUUCUCUGAGGAAUUUGAAGAGCUGAAACACGUCGGCCGAGAGCAACCAUGUACAUUUGCAGACUUGCCUUGCAACCGGCCCAAAAACCGGUUUACGAAUAUUUUGCCUUAUGACCAUUCCAGAUUUAAGCUCCAGCCAGUUGAUGAUGAGGAAGGCUCGGAUUACAUAAAUGCAAAUUAUGUUCCUGGUUUCCAUUCACCGAGGGAAUUCAUUGUGACCCAAGGUCCAUUGCAUUCUACAAGAGACGAUUUUUGGAGAAUGUGCUGGGAGAGUAAUUCUCGUGCCAUUGUAAUGCUUACACGUUGUAUAGAAAAAGGUCGAGAGAAGUGUGAUCAUUAUUGGCCUUACGACACCAUGCCAGUCUACUAUGGUGAUAUUUCUGUAACAAUAUUAAAUGACAGUCAUUAUCCGGAUUGGAGCGUCACUGAAUUUAUCAUGGCCAGAGGUGACACUCAAAGGGUUAUAAGACAUUUUCAUUUCACGACUUGGCCAGAUUUUGGCGUACCUAACCCACCCACAACUCUAGUCCGUUUUGUGAGAGCCUUUAGAGAGAGGAUAGCACCAGAACAACGCCCUAUCGUUGUACACUGCAGUGCUGGAGUCGGCCGGUCGGGAACUUUCAUUGCCCUAGACAGGAUAGUGCAGUCUCUCAACCAUGGUGCAGACACGGUCGAUAUUUUUGGAAUUGUCUGGCAGAUGCGAAAGGAGAGGGUGUGGAUGGUUCAGACAGAACAGCAAUAUAUAUGCAUCCAUCAGUGCCUUCUGGCUGUCCUCCAGGGUGACGACAAUCAAGCACCCCCAAGGGAAAUACACCACAAUCCGGGGUUUGAAGUGUGUAAAUACAAGAAUACCAUGUUAGACAUAAUCUGUAUUUGGUGCUGUAAGAGGUGGAGGAAAUUGAGGUGAUGGAUGGGUUUUAGGUAAGAGCGGCAAUGUUAGUAACAAGAGUGGGGUCAAGACGCCAGAAUUUCACAGGAAGGAGAAGCAUCGGUGAUGAUGAUGAAGGGAUAGCUGAGUCCGGAAUGUGAUGAUGUACCCAUUUGGACUACAUUCUAGAUUAAAUGGAGUUUGUCUGUUUUAAUCAAAUAACAAAGUUUUAAUUAUUCGUCCCCUCCAUUUUAUAAUAAACACCGAGUUUGAACGAGGACAGAGAAUAAACUUUACAAACUUAA